rnacentral:rRNA from 1 species
UACGGAGGGUGCAAGCGUUAAUCGGAAUUACUGGGCGUAAAGCGUGCGUAGGCGGUUCGUUAAGUCUGUUGUGAAAGCCCCCGGGCUCAACCUGGGAAUGGCAAUGGAUACUGGCGAGCUAGAGUGUGUCAGAGGAUGGUGGAAUUCCCGGUGUAGCGGUGAAAUGCGCAGAUAUCAGGAGGAACACCGGUGGCGAAGGCGGCGACCUGGACGGACACUGACGCUGAGACGCGAAAGCGUGGGGAGCAAACAGG